rnacentral:rRNA from 1 species
GACGAACGCUGGCGGCGUGCUUAACACAUGCAAGUCGAACGGUGAAGCCUUUCGGGGUGGAUCAGUGGCGAACGGGUGAGUAACACGUGGGCAAUCUGCCCUGCACUCUGGGACAAGCCCUGGAAACGGGGUCUAAUACCGGAUAUGACCUGGGGAUGCAUGUUCCCGGGUGGAUAGCUCCGGCGGUGCAGGAUGAGCCCGCGGCCUAUCAGCUUGUUGGUGGGGUGAUGGCCUACCAAGGCGACGACGGGUAGCCGGCCUGAGAGGGCGACCGGCCACACUGGGACUGAGACACGGCCCAGACUCCUACGGGAGGCAGCAGUGGGGAAUAUUGCACAAUGGGCGGAAGCCUGAUGCAGCGACGCCGCGUGAGGGAUGACGGCCUUCGGGUUGUAAACCUCUUUCAGCAGGGAAGAAGCGUGAGUGACGGUACCUGCAGAAGAAGCACCGGCUAACUACGUGCCAGCAGCCGCGGUAAAAC